GCCAUACAAGACGUUAACAAAAGAGGAAGCUGGGUAAAGUGUAUUCAUGAAUUCUGCACUAUUUUGCAACUCUUAGAAAUUUGGACUGGGCUGUGUGCUUCUCCUAUACCAUUCUCCAGCUACUUCUGGAUGAAGAGGAAGGGAAUGGAGGUCUUGAAAGGUGGAAGAGUCAUGCUGAAAUGUUAGCUGCAUAUCAGACCCAGAAAAUACAGCAAGUUUUUUGGCUGGGCGCAGCGGCUCAGGAGGAGGGCGCCCGGGAAAUACCUGCUGCGUGAAUGAAUAAAUGAAUGAAAUGCUUGGGCCCUGGGAAAUGCUUGGGCCCGCGGCCGCCUGACCACGCGGGCUGGAGGAUCGGACGUACCGCCGGUGCCCCACCAGGAGACGAAGGCAUGGUUGGGAUGCGCAGCCCUCCCACGAGGCCCAUGGCGCCCCAGGGCCCUAGGGAUUGACCGGGACCCCCGACUGGCAGAGUCCACCUGCUUGAUACACUUAUUUGAGAAGGGAGGCCUGGGACUAUCUUACUCCUUUUAGGAAAACCCAACUGUAGCUGCUAUUCCUUUGGUUCAGGCCGCAAGGAAGAAUUGUAGGUUACCAUGAAUCCAUGAACCCCUCUUUAGUAUACAAAGUCCACUUUCAUGACGGAAGAAUUGGAAAGCUCCCUCCAGAGUUGUCAGUACUCAAUUAUUAGCAUAUAAAAAGUCAAAUUUUCCCAGGGAUUUUCAGACUUUAGAACCUGCUAGUGACCUGUGGCCUCAGCUUUCUUCCAGCCACUCUGAGUAUUGUAAAACAAAGAUAUUAUCCCAACCCUGAAGGCAGAUACCAGAUUGUACGCCAUGGUCUUCUGUUUCAAAGGGAUAAAAAAAGAAAGAAAAGAAACUGGCCAAAAAAAAAAAAAAAAAAAAAAAACCCAACAAUCUUCCUGUGACUUGCCCUCUACCCCUACCCUAGUGUGACUCAUGGCCACAUAAAUGCCCCAUCCCCAGUGGUGCUUCAGCUGUGACCCAGUGGAACCAGUGUCACCGGCUCAGCCUCCAGGUAGGGGACUGGCUUCCCAGGAGUGUAAAGCUCUGACCAGCAAUUGAGCUUCAAGGGCAAGCAGCAGUGAAUGGACCUUCAAGUCUAAGGUGGCCAACAGCUAGUGGAGCCAGGGAUUGGGAAGGUACAAGAGCAAAUCCAGUCUCUUCAUUUUACCCAGGCUCACAGAGACUAUGUGACUUGUCAUCAACUAAUCACUGGCUCAGGUGGUCCUAGAAUUCACCCUUGUGCUUUUGUAUCUUAGUCCUCUACCAGAUCACAUCACAGAGAGCUGCACAAGACUAGUUACAGAGGUGAUAUCUACUGACUGCCAGACAGUGACUUCAGAAACUGCUAGUGACUGAGCAAUGAAGUAGACGCUAUUAAUUUACUUAAUAGCGUCAAAGAAUAAAUUUAAUUCUUUGAGG
rnacentral:lncRNA from 1 species